CCUACGGGCGGCUGCAGUGGGGAAUAUUGCACAAUGGAGGGAACUCUGAUGCAGCGACGCCGCGUGAGCGAUGAAGGCCUUCGGGUCGUAAAGCUCUGUCCUAUGGGACGAUAAUGACGGUACCAUAGGAGGAAGCCCCGGCUAACUACGUGCCAGCAGCCGCGGUAAUACGUAGGGGGCGAGCGUUGUCCGGAAUUACUGGGCGUAAAGGGUACGCAGGCGGUCAUGUAAGUCAGAUGUGAAAUCCUAAGGCUUAACCUUAGUAAGCAUUUGAAACUGCGUGGCUUGAGUUAAGGAGAGGAAAGUGGAAUUCCUGGUGUAGCGGUGAAAUGCGUAGAUAUCAGGAGGAAUACCAGUGGCGAAGGCGACUUUCUGGCCUUAAACUGACGCUGAGGUACGAAAGCGUGGGGAGCAAACAGGCUUAGAUACCCGAGUAGUC
rnacentral:rRNA from 1 species